UUUUUUUUUACUUUGUACUUCUUUUGUUGAUCCUUUCAUAUCUUGCUGUCAUUUUCUGUUUCAAUGUUUUGCUUUUGUUACUUUAUUAGUAUGGUUUCAUUCCUUUUAUGUUUUCUUCUUUUGCAAACUUUCAGGGUUUUGUUGUUGUUGUUUUAUAUUGUUUUGGUUCUUUUAUAUGUAUGCAGGACAGUAUAAUUCAUUUUGACAUAAUUAUAAAGCAUGGAAUACAUCUUAUUCUAAUUCAGUCCCCAAUACCUUUCCUUCCCCUUCCCUCCACACUCUAGCCCACUCUGUUCCCUUUAGUGUUCUUUCUGCCACUUACCCAUAGUUAUUUUUUAAAUUAGCUUCUUGUGGAUAUACAUGAUGGUGAGAUUCACUGUGAUGUAUUCAUAUAUGUACAUAGGAAAUUAUGUCAGAUUCAUUUCACUGUAUUUCCUUUUCCCAUUCCCCCUCCCUUUAUUUCAUUUCCUUUUGUCUACUCCACUGAACUUCUAUUCUUUUCCCAUUUAUUGAGGAUUAGCUUCUAUAUAUCAGAGGAAACAUUUGACCUUUGGAUUUGGGGGGAUUAGCUUAUUUCACUUAGCAUGAUAGGCUCCCUACAUCCAUCCAUUUAC
rnacentral:lncRNA from 1 species